rnacentral:rRNA from 1 species
GAUGAACGCUGGCGGCGUGCCUAAUACAUGCAAGUCGAGCGAACAGACGAGGAGCUUGCUCCUCUGACGUUAGCGGCGGACGGGUGAGUAACACGUGGAUAACCUACCUAUAAGACUGGGAUAACUUCGGGAAACCGGAGCUAAUACCGGAUAAUAUAUUGAACCGCAUGGUUCAAUAGUGAAAGACGGUUUUGCUGUCACUUAUAGAUGGAUCCGCGCCGCAUUAGCUAGUUGGUAAGGUAACGGCUUACCAAGGCAACGAUGCGUAGCCGACCUGAGAGGGUGAUCGGCCACACUGGAACUGAGAAAAGGUCCAGACUCCUACGGGAGGCAGCAGUAGGGAAUCUUCCGCAAAGGGCGAAAGCCUGACGGAGCAACGCCGCGUGAGUGAUGAAGGUCUUCGGAUCGUAAAACUCUGUUAUUAGGGAAGAACAAAUGUGUAAGUAACUAUGCACGUCUUGACGGUACCUAAUCAGAAAGCCACGGCUAACUACGUG